UCCUAUAGCCUACAUGUAGUCCUGUUUUUAGGUGUACAGUACAGAAGCAUUAGGUGGAGACAUACAUUUGAUGCGGGAUGUAAUUUACAUAAAAGGAAACAGAUCAACUCACGCAAAUAUAUCGCUUGCUAGUGCUAGUAUUCGUGUUGCGGGUGUAUUAUAAACAACAGAGGGUCAUUUACUGUCACUGCACACGUGUAUUAAUGUUUUAUUAUCAUGUAGCUUGAGGAAACUCGACUCAUUUGAUGCUCUUUAUUUGAUUGAAAGACUUUUUUCAUAAACUAGAGCACGAGCUGUUUAAGCUGUUGAACUUCAGCUUGUAAACUUUACCAAUAAGGUUUGAGUCCUGUGUUUCAGACAUGAAUGAUUCCUCAUGCUGUUAUUACAGACUUUCUUCGUGAAAAGUCCCUCAGACCCACACUGAAGGAGGGACUCGAGACAUUAUCAUCACAGAUGUCAGAGAUGUGGCUCUUCUGACCAGUAAACACCCACUCUGAGCACACUAGCAUAGGUGGCUUUACAGAGCUGGAGAUGGAGCAGGAACGGAUAUCUUGAGCAGUCCUCAUGUAUUUGUGUCUGAUCUUUACCAUUAUCAGUGGAAACUUAAGAUGCAAAAUAUCCCGACGGCAGCAACAAUCAACAGAAAUCCAGCAGCAGCAGCAGAGAUCAGAGCUAUCAGAGAGACUGGAAGAGCAUAAAAGAGAGAUAGUCAUUAAUGUAAGUGAUUGAAUCAGUCUGAUCUACAACAGAAGACAGAGAUCAGAUCAGUAAAUAAUCACAUAUAUCAGCUCUGUCGUACCUGCACAUGUGUGACAGAGGUGAGUGAUGUCCAGAUGUUGAGUCUGGUUGCUGAUGGGAUUGUUCAGCACACAGCUGUAGGUGUUUUUAUCCUGAUAUUCCACCUCCAGAGGUAGAGAGAG